UGUGGCGGACGGGUGAGUAACGCGUGAGAAUCUACCUUUAGGUUCGGGACAACAGUUGGAAACGACUGCUAAUACCGAAUGUGUCGCAAGAUGAAAGAUUAAUUGCCUAGAGAUGAGCUCGCGUCUGAUUAGCUAGUUGGUGGGGUAAAAGCGUACCAAGGCGACGAUCAGUAGCUGGUCUGAGAGGAUGAUCAGCCACACUGGGACUGAGACACGGCCCAGACUCCUACGGGAGGCAGCAGUGGGGAAUUUUCCGCAAUGGGCGAAAGCCUGACGGAGCAACGCCGCGUGAGGGAGGAAGGCUCUUGGGUUGUAAACCUCUUUUCUCAAGGAAGGUAAUGACGGUACUUGAGGAAUCAGCAUCGGCUAACUCCGUGCCAGCAGCCGCGGUAAUACGGAGGAUGCAAGCGUUAUCCGGAAUAAUUGGGCGUAAAGCGUUCGUAGGUGGUUCUGUAAGUCUGCUGUUAAAGCGUGUAGCUCAACUACAUAUAGGCAGUGGAAACUACAAAACUAGAGUGCGUUCGGGGCAGAGGGAAUUCCUGGUGUAGCGGUGAAAUGCGUAGAUAUCAGGAAGAACACCGGUGGCGAAGGCGCUCUGCUAGGCCGCAACUGACACUGAGGGACGAAAGCUAGGGGAGCGAAUGGGAUUAGAUACCCCAGUAGUCCUAGCUGUAAACGAUGGAUACUAGGCGUUGUCUGUAUCGACCCGGACAGUGCCGUAGCUAACACGUUAAGUAUCCCGCCUGGGGAGUACGCACGCAAGUGUGAAACUCAAAGGAAUUGACGGGGGCCCGCACAAGCGGUGGAGUAUGUGGUUUAAUUCGAUGCAACGCGAAGAACCUUACCAAGGCUUGACAUGUCCGGAA
rnacentral:rRNA from 1 species